rnacentral:misc_RNA from 1 species
CGGGAGAGCCCUAAUCAGGCCGCUUUUUAUAUCUUUCGCUGUCGGUUUCGCUGUCUGCUCUCUCUAGCGGCAGCGUCCUUCUCUCUCGACGUGGCUUGCGUUUCGCUUCUUCAAGCAACAGAUUAUUCUUGGAGAUGGGUCGUGUUCGCACCAAGACUGUGAAGAAGUCCUCUCGCCAGGUCAUUGAGAGGUACUACUCUAAAAUGACCUUGGACUUCCACACCAACAAGAAGAUCUUGGAAGAGGUUGCUAUCAUUCCCUCAAAGCGGCUUCGUAAUAAGAUUGCUGGAUUUUCCACCCACCUUAUGAAGCGUAUUCAAAAGGGUCCUGUUCGUGGUAUCUCUUUGAAACUGCAAGAGGAAGAGCGUGAACGUCGCAUGGACUUUGUGCCAGAAGAGUCUGCCAUUAAGAUUGAUGAGAUUAAAGUUGAUAAGGAGACAAUUGACAUGCUUGCUGCUCUUGGUAUGUCAGAUAUUCCCGGGCUUGUUGAAUUUGAACCUCAGCCUUUGGUUCCUCCCCAGGUCUUUGGUAGGGGUCAAGCUGGUGCGCCUGGAAGGAGGUUCUGAGGUCAUUGAGCUUUAGAGGAUGUUCAAGUAUGAGAACUUCAGAUGUCAUUCUGUUAGUAGUUACUUUCUGUCUUUGUCCUGGAUAUUAUACUAAAUGGAUAUCAGUACUCAAUAUUUUGAACUGGCUAUUUUUAGUUGACAUUGAAGUUAAAGGAUGAUACUGUGGUUGAUUUGAUGCAGAUAAGGCCUUUCUUGCCAUUGUUCUUAUUAUUUCUCCAUUCUGUCUAACGUUAUCCACUUUGAUUUUAAUAGUUAUUUGUUUGUUGGAUGUGCUGUAAGUUGUGAUUUGAUUGAUCAUUGGUAGACCACUAUUUU